AACGAACGCUGGCGGCAUGCCUAACACAUGCAAGUCGAACGAGACCUUCGGGUCUAGUGGCGCACGGGUGCGUAACGCGUGGGAACCUGCCCUUAGGUUCGGAAUAACUCCCCGACAGGGGUGCUAAUACCGGAUAAUGUCUUCGGACCAAAGAUUUAUCGCCUUUGGAUGGGCCCGCGUUGGAUUAGCUAGUUGGUAGGGUAAAAGCCUACCAAGGCGACGAUCCAUAGCUGGUCUGAGAGGAUGAUCAGCCACACUGGGACUGAGACACGGCCCAGACUCCUACGGGAGGCAGCAGUGGGGAAUAUUGGACAAUGGGCGAAAGCCUGAUCCAGCAAUGCCGCGUGGGUGAUGAAGGCCUUAGGGUUGUAAAGCUCUUUUACCCGGGAUGAUAAUGACAGUACCGGGAGAAUAAGCUCCGGCUAACUCCGUG
rnacentral:rRNA from 1 species